AUGAACAGAAAAGAGCAGAUUUGUGUGCAUUUGUGACCACAAACAUCACUACAGGAGAAGAAAUGAUGUACGACUGUGGAGAUCCUGACAUCUCAUGGAGACAGGUAGCAGGAUGCUUGGUCCAUUACAUCCUGACGGAUGGACAACACCCUCAUCAGACUACUACACCCUCCACCCAGGAUCCACUUGGUCUGUCUCUACAUGUCAGAACGAGUAACUUCAGUCUUCAAUGGGAUGAAAGACUAAACAUAUCUUAAGCAGAAUAAUGAGCAAAUCAGUGGAAGAGCAUCCUACUAUUGAGGAAAGCCUUCAGGAAGUCAAAACUAUGUGCAAAGACUUAUUGUAGAGUUUACAAUAAGCAUUAAAAUGAUUGGAUAUAAAAACUGGUGUGAAUUUACAGGUUUGAUCACCAGUCUUAUCAAAUAUCAACCACAAACAGCUACAGCUCAGGAAAGUCUUCAGUCUUCAGUCUUGGAUACAUCAGUAAAUCACUAGUGCCAUUAAAUCAAAACGCAAAACCCAGAAAGCCCUGGUCAGAAACAGAGAGGAAAGUCAUAGAACACUGUUUCAAGAACUACUUUGAGGAAAUGAAGGCUCCUGGAAAAGUGGACUGUGAAAGAUGCAUAAAUGCAAACAGGAUUCUAAAGGGUAAUGGAAGAGACUGGAAAACAGUUAAAUACUUUGUGCUCAACAGAAUAAUUUCAGUUAAGAGAAGUUUGGGUCAACAGUACUGAGCCCAUAAACCCUGAGAGCGUGUGAUGUGGAGUAUCAGUGUUGAGUCCUAACUGUGCCGUGACACUGAAGGUCCAUGUACAUGCAGCAUCAGUGCCUCAUAGCAUUGAAAUGACUGACUACAGCUGUUUUCAGCUGCUGUUUGGGACUCUGUUUUAGACCUGUUAUAACUUUGAUGUAAGCCACUGUAAUU